UACGUAGGGCGCAAGCGUUGUCCGGAAUUAUUGGGCGUAAAGAGCUCGUAGGCGGCUUGUCACGUCGGAUGUGAAAGCCCGAGGCUUAACCUCGGGUCUGCAUUCGAUACGGGCUAGCUAGAGUGUGGUAGGGGGGAUCGGAAUUCCUGGUGUAGCGGUGAAAUGCGCAGAUAUCAGGAGGAACACCGGUGGCGAAGGCGGAUCUCUGGGCCAUUACUGACGCUGAGGAGCGAAAGCAUGGGGAGCGAACAGG
rnacentral:rRNA from 1 species